AACGAACGCUGGCGGCAGGCUUAACACAUGCAAGUCGAGCGCAUCGGUAACGGUGAGCGGCAGACGGGUGAGUAACGCGUGGGAAUCUACCCUUCUCUGCGGAAUAGCUCCGGGAAACUGGAAUUAAUACCGCAUACGCCCUUAGGGGGAAAGAUUUAUCGGGGAAGGAUGAGCCCGCGUUGGAUUAGCUAGUUGGUGGGGUAAAGGCUUACCAAGGCGACGAUCCAUAGCUGGUCUGAGAGGAUGAUCAGCCACAUUGGGACUGAGACACGGACCAGACUCGUACGCGAGGCAGCAGUGGGGAAUAUUGGCCAAUGGGCGCUAGCCUGAUCCAGCCAUGCCGCGUGAGUGAUGAAGGCCUUAGGGUUGUAAAGCUCUUUCAGGUGGGAAGAUAAUGACGGUACCACCAGAAGAAGCCCCGGCUAACUUCGUGCCAGCCGCCGCCGUAAAAC
rnacentral:rRNA from 1 species